GUGCCAGCCGCCGCGGUAAUACGGAGGGUCCAAGCGUUGUCCGGAAUCACUGGGUGUAAAGGGUGCGCAGGCGGGCGUGUAAGUCAGAGGUGAAAGCCACCGGCCUAACCGGUGAACUGCCUUUGAUACUGCACGUCUUGAGUCCCGGAGAGGCUAUCGGAAUUCGUGGUGUAGCGGUGAAAUGCGUAAAUAUCACGAGGAACACCGGAUGCGUAGGCGGAUAGCUGGACGGGUACUGACGCUCAGGCACGAAAGCGCGGGGAGCAAACAGGAUUAGAUACCCUAGUAGUCC
rnacentral:rRNA from 1 species